UUCAAUUUCUUGUCUCUCUUUCUCUUUUAUGUCUGUAUAAAACCCGAUUGACCAGUUAGGUAUCUGCAACAGUGAAGAAGCAGAUGGCCGAUAGUGUGGGUGACGAUGGGUGACUAUCAACAUGCUUUAAUCCAGUGAUUCUGUGCAGCAAUUUUGGAGAAAUGGCCAGAAACUUGAUGACAUUCCUCCUCCCAACAGAUAGAGUCUGGAUAUGUGUUCACUUGUGAACUCAGAAAGCCUUAUGACCGUUUUGACCAAUAAACUAUAAUGGAAUGAA